rnacentral:rRNA from 1 species
UACGGGGGGGGGCAAGCGUUGUUCGGAAUUACUGGGCGUAAAGGGCUCGUAGGUGGCCAACUAAGUCAGACGUGAAAUCCCCAGGCUUAACCUGGGAACUGCGUCUGAUACUGGAUGGCUAGAGUUUGGGAGAGGGAUGCGGAAUUCCAGGUGUAGCGGUGAAAUGCGUAGAUAUCUGGAGGAACACCGGUGGCGAAGGCGGCAUCCUGGACCAACACUGACGCUGAGGAGCGAAAGCCAGGGGAGCAAACGGG